UCGACGUCUUCCUUUUUUUAUUAAAGUUAUUUUCCUUUUUUUUCUUUAGUUUUAAUAUCUUUUUUGACUAAUCCUACAUGGCAAUUUGAUUGGUAGUCAAUAGUGAGGUGAAUUUAGAGGAUUCACCAUAGGGGUGAACCCAAGUUUUGUUCAUUCGUCACUAUGUGGCUCCACCAUCAGGGCUAUUGUCCAAGGUUUAUUUUAUUACUAACUAGGGUCGGAUCCACCGUACGGACGGGUAUGCAAAUGAACAAAACAAUAUAAAUAUAUUUUAAAUUUUAAUAAAUUUUCAGUUUAUUUUAAAUUAUAAUUUUCACUAUUUUUACAACAAAUUUUACUAUUUCUUCUCUUUUAUAAAUUAUAUAUUUGUUACUAUAAUAAAACAAUUUAUAAAAAAUAUGAGUAAACUAUAUCUCUUAUUCCAAAAUAAAUUUCAUAAAGAAGCAAAUAAAAAAAACUUUUAAAAGUGUAGUAUGAGUUAAAUACACUAAAAUUUCUAUGAAUUUUUUUUUGUAACACCUGUAUGAAAAAUAUUACUAUUUACUAUAUCAUUUGUUAAACUAUAAACAUAAAAAAAUAUAUUGCAAUCUAAUUAUAGUUAAAAUAUUGUCAUGGAUUAAAACUCAGUGUAAAAAGAUAAUUAAGAUAUCCUCAAUAGAUAUGCACAACUUAUUUAAUUUCUUUUAUUAAAUUUUGUUUUGUUUCACAAUUUCUAUCUUUUCAAAAUACCAAGCAGGUUAUUACAUUGUUAUUAAAAGUAAAAUUUUAUAUACUUUCUAACUUAAUCUUUUAUUUUUAUAUUUCGUUAACAAUAUCAAGCACUAAUGUAUCAGUUAGAGGAUUUAUGUGAAUUUUGAGUCCAACAUUAUGAUCCAAAAAUAUUAUUUUCUUUUUUUUUUCCGGUAAAAACAUUCUGCAAUCUUGUAUUAAUAUCACAAAUUAAAAAUAUAAAUUUUAUUUUUUAUAAGAUCUAUGUUUAUUAUUACUAUGCGAUCGAGAGUACAUGAUUUUCAUGAAGAAGAUUAGUGAUAUAUUGUAUUACAUGUUAAUGAAAUUUAAAAGAAUUGUCUAAAGGCCUAGCUUACCAAGCUUACUUGCGUCAGAAGGUAAUGCGUAUACUAACAAUGUGUAUGCACCGAUGGUGAUCACAAGAGUUAUGGUGAUCACCAUAAAAAUCAUUGCCAAUUUGCUAGUUAUAAUCAUAUGCAAGUUUCAUACAGAUGGAAUUACUAAGUACUGUUAGCGCUAAACUUACAUCGAAAUCAAAUUUAAAAGAAAAUUUUGAAGAAUAAAGUUCUGGAACUCACAAAAAAACUCCCAACUUAAGUUAUUAGAUUUAUCUUUUCAAAAUCACAUAAGUUUUUUAUAUCACUACAACUUAAAUAUUGUAAAACAGGAAAUAAUUAAAAAUGAGAAAAUUCAGAAAACAAAAACAUAUAUAAGCAAUAACUAAGAUAAUUUUUUUUAAGAAAGAAAAUAGUUAUUAAAUCUCUUUAGCAUUUUUUUUUGAACAACAAAUCUCUUUAGCUCAAAGUUUUAUUUGUCACGUUCAAAAUAAUACUUUUGUCUUUAUGUGAUAGAGCCUUUUACGACUCUAUAAAAACAGUUCCACACACAACUCUCUUCUCUAAAAAAAAAAAAACUAAACUAUUGCAUGCUCUCUCCCUCUCUCUUCUCUCUCUCUCUCGCAAUCAAGAAGAUCAUGUCAGGCGUGUGGGUGUUCAAGAACGGAGUGAUAAGGCUUGUGGAGAACCCUAACCAGUCAGGAGCCGACUCAUACAGCCGAAGGAAGGUCAUGGUCUAUUUACCGACAGGAGAAGUGGUCUCAUCUUAUUCGAUGCUCGAGCAGAUCCUCCAGAGUUGAAGCCUAGGCAGCAGCAACGUAAAGAGAUACCUGAUACAUUGAUCAGGUAGCUGGGCGGUUGCAUAUUUACAAGGAAGUCUCUGCUUGGUUGUAUUUUUCUUCUUCUAUAUAACCCAUAUGAUUACUGUUAUUAUGAUUAUUAUACACCUUUACCUAUUAUAUAAUUUUUGUUUUGUAUUUUGAUGAAAUUUUGUGAUUGGUACUUUCUGUAAUUUCAUUUGAAUUAAUGGGAUUUUAUAAUCCUUUUAUAAUAUACCUAGACUAAUGAAA